CGGAAGGCCAUUGCUUCGGUUAUGAUGCUUGUCUCAUGGGAAAUCUGGAAGGAACGGAACGCAAGAAUUUUUCGCAACACGGCUGCCCCGACCUACAUCGUCGUCAGUAAAAUCAAAGAGGAAGCCCAUCUUUGGGCAUUGGCGGGAGCCAAGCAUUUGAGUUUUCUGAUGUCGUGA
rnacentral:rRNA from 1 species